rnacentral:lncRNA from 1 species
CGGACUCCACGCUCUGUCUUCAAUGGUAUACCACGACGUGCUGAAGUAGACAACAUGGUGAUGAUCGAUGAUGUCGCCGUCAUCAUCCCAUGGUGGCCUUCUUGCCGUCAACCAUGGCUAGCGGGUACGUGCAUGGCACAUGCAUGUGCACAAGCUAUUUACAUGCAUGCUAACCCGUCUGUGUGCUCGCCUUCUUGUAGCUCCCUCUGUCCGCAGGGUAUGUGUCGACGACCAUGUCGGCAAGAAGUGGGAGGUAGGUGCAGCAUCGGCCUAGGCGUCCAUCAUGAUGAAGCUGGCACGCAGCGAUGGCGGCUCCGAUGAAGUGGGCGGCACCCCGGUGAGCGCCUCGCCGUCGUCCUCCAUGGCACCGGCUUGAUGAAGUGGGCGGAGCCUCGGCGAUCUCGGUGUCGUCGUCCUCCGCGGCGCCGGCUUCUCAACGUCAAUAGUGGGCUGCAUCACGGCGAGCUCCGUGUUGCCGUCUUGGACGUCGCCGGAGGCUCCGUCUCCAGCAGCAACUCAUCUUCGGCGGCUCUGGAGUGAUGUCUUGAUCGUGCGUGUGCAAGCAUGCUACUCCCUCCGUUCCUAAAUACUUCCUCCG